CCUACGGGCGGCAUCAGUGAGGAAUAUUGGUCAAUGGGCGCGAGCCUGAACCAGCCAAGUAGCGUGAAGGAUGACUGCCCUACGGGUUGUAAACUUCUUUUAUAAAGGAAUAAAGUGAGGCACGUGUGCCUUUUGUAUGUACUUUAUGAAUAAGGAUCGGCUAACUCCGUGCCAGCAGCCGCGGUAAUACGGAGGAUCCGAGCGUUAUCCGGAUUUAUUGGGGUUAAAGGGGGCGUAGAUGGGUUGUUAAGUCAGUUGUGAAAGUUUGCGGCUCAACCGUAAAAUUGCAAUUGAUACUGGCAGCCUGGAGUACAGUUGAGGUAGGCGGAAUUCGUGGUGUAGCGGUGAAAUGCUUAGAUAUCACGAAGAACUCCGAUUGCGAAGGCAGCUUACUAAACUGCCACUGACAUUGAUGCUCGAAAGUGUGGGUAUCAAACAGGAUUAGAUACCCGGGUAGUC
rnacentral:rRNA from 1 species